rnacentral:rRNA from 1 species
CGUGUAGGCGGGAAUACAAGUCAGAUGUGAAAGCCCAGGGCUCAACCCUGGACGUGCAUUUGAAACAGCAAGACUUGAGUACGGGAGAGGAAAGCGGAAUUCCUGGUGUAGAGGUGAAAUUCGUAGAUAUCAGGAGGAACACCGAUGGCGAAGGCAGCUUUCUGGACCGAUACUGACGCUGAGGCGCGAAGGCGUGGGUAGCGAACAGGAUUAGAUACCCUGGUAGUCC